AAACCGGCCCUUUUCAGGGCCACAAAAUAUGAACAGUUAAAAACUA
rfam:Oikopleura dioica, whole genome shotgun assembly, reference scaffold set, scaffold scaffold_71